rnacentral:siRNA from 1 species
ACAAUGUGACCGUGAUACACGAU